AGGACAGACCCAAGCCAAGAGGCGACGAAAGUCGGGCACUGAUGUCCGGGACAGUCUUGCUGUUCAGGUCCCCAGCGCCCGGGUGCACAGACCCCACAGCGGAGGCACCGAGCCUACUUGCCCGAGCAAAGAGGUGGUAGCAGAGCGGACGGCCCGGCCCCACUCAGGAGUCCCCUUAGCGGCCGGGGCUCCGGGAACCCGCUCCUGCUGCGCCCCGCCCACUCCGCGGCCCCGCAACGCGCCUCUUCCCGGCCCGCGGGCCGCGCGCGCUCCGCGGUGGCCGACGACCCCCUUUUCGGACCCCGACAGCUGAACCUGCUGUGGACAGCCGGGUCCGAGGCUCGCCCGCCCGGCGCAGGCCCCGCUCGGCUUCCCCGGCUACUCACCGUCGGCGCGAAGGCGCUGCGAGGGCGCGGGGUAGCGGCCGC
rnacentral:lncRNA from 1 species